AUUGAACGCUGGCGGCAUGCCUUACACAUGCAAGUCGAACGGCAGCACGGGAGCAAUCCUGGUGGCGAGUGGCGAACGGGUGAGUAAUAUAUCGGAACGUGCCCAGUGAUGGGGGAUAGCCCGGCGAAAGCCGGAUUAAUACCGCAUACGACCUACGGGUGAAAGCAGGGGAGUCGCAAGACCUUGCGUCAUUGGAGCGGCCGAUAUCAGAUUAGCUUGNGGUGGGGUAAAGGACCUACCAAGGCGACGAUCUGUAGCUGGUCUGAGAGGACGACCAGCCACACUGGGACUGAGACACGGCCCACGACUCCUACGGGAGGCAGCAGUGGGGAAUUUUGGACAAUGGGCGCAAGCCUGAUCCAGCCAUGCCGCGUGCGGGAAGAAGGCC
rnacentral:rRNA from 1 species